rnacentral:rRNA from 1 species
UGUGACUGCGUACCUUUUGUAUAAUGGGUCAGCGACUUAUAUUCAGUGGCAAGGUUAACCAUCUAGGGGAGCCGUAGGGAAACCGAGUCUUAACUGGGCGUUCAGUCUCUGGAUAUAGACCCGAAACCAGGUGAUCUAGCCAUGGGCAGGUUGAAGGUUGAGUAACAUCAACUGGAGGACCGAACCGACUAAUGUUGAAAAAUUAGCGGAUGACUUGUGGCUAGGGGUGAAAGGCCAAUCAAACCUGGAGAUAGCUGGUUCUCCCCGAAAGCUAUUUAGGUAGCGCCUCGGACGAAUACUACUGGGGGUAGAGCACUGUUAAGGCUAGGGGGUCAUCCCGACUUACCAACCCUUUGCAAACUCCGAAUACCAGUAAGUACUAUCCGGGAGACACACGGCGGGUGCUAACGUCCGUCGUGGAGAGGGAAACAACCCAGACCGCCAGCUAAGGUCCCAAAUUACUACUAAGUGGGAAACGAUGUGGGAAGGCUCAGACAGCCAGGAUGUUGGCUUAGAAGCAGCCAUCAUUUAAAGAAAGCGUAAUAGCUCACUGGUCGAGUCGGCCUGCGCGGAAGAUGUAACGGGGCUAAGUAGUAAACCGAAGCUGCGGCAAUAUACUUUUGUAUAUUGGGUAGGGGAGCGUUCUGUAAGCGGUUGAAGGUGUGUGGUAACGCAUGCUGGACGUAUCAGAAGUGCGAAUGCUGACAUGAGUAACGAUAAAGGGGGUGAAAAACCUCCUCGCCGGAAGACCAAGGGUUCCUGUCCAACGUUAAUCGGGGCAGGGUAAGUCGACCCCUAAGGCGAGGCCGAAAGGCGUAGUCGAUGGGAAACGGGUUAAUAUUCCCGUACUUCUUACAAUUGCGAUGGGGGGACGGAGAAGGCUAGGUGGGCCUGGCGACGGUUGUCCAGGUUCAAGUGCGUAGGCUUAAGAGUUAGGUAAAUCCGGCUCUUUCUAAGGCUGAGACACGACGUCGAGCACCUACGGGUGUGAAGUCAUUGAUGCCAUGCUUCCAGGAAAAGCCUCUAAGCUUCAGAUUGUAAGGAAUCGUACCCCAAACCGACACAGGUGGUCGGGUAGAGAAUACCAAGGCGCUUGAGAGAACUCGGGUGAAGGAACUAGGCAAAAUGGUACCGUAACUUCGGGAGAAGGUACGCUCUUGAUGGUGAAGUCCCUCGCGGAUGGAGCUGAC